AAUUCGAUUAGUUUGAUCAUGGCUCAGGACGAACGCUGGCGGCGCGCUUAAUACAUGCAAGUCGAGCGAGAACCAGCCCUUCGGGGCUGGGGAAAGCGGCGAACGGGUGAGUAACACGUGGGUAAUCUGCCCUCGGCACCGGGAUAGCCCGGGGAAACCCGGAUUAAUACCGGAUAGCCUCUCGAGCUCUCGAGCUCGCGAGAAAAGGUAGCUUUGGCCUCUGGCCGAGGAGGAGCCCGCGGCGGAUUAGCUUGUUGGUGAGGUAACGGCCCACCAAGGCGACGAUCCGUAGCUGGUCUGAGAGGACGAUCAGCCACACUGGGACUGAGACACGGCCCAGACUCCUACGGGAGGCAGCAGUAGGGAAUCUUGCGCAAUGGGCGGAAGCCUGACGCAGCGACGCCGCGUGCGGGAAGAAGGCCUUCGGGUUGUAAACCGCUUUCAGGAGGGACGAAGCCACUCGGGUUAAUAGCCCAGAGGGUGACGGUACCUCCAGAAGAAGCCCCGGCUAACUACGUGCCAGCAGCCGCGGUAAUACGUAGGGGGCAAGCGUUGUCCGGAUUUAUUGGGCGUAAAGCGCGUGUAGGCGGCCAGGUAGGUCCGUUGUGAAAACUCGAGGCUCAACCUCGAGACGUCGACGGAAACCAUCUGGCUAGAGUCCGGAAGAGGAGAGUGGAAUUCCUGGUGUAGCGGUGAAAUG
rnacentral:rRNA from 1 species